GAUGAACGCUGGCGGCGUGCUUAACACAUGCAAGUCGAACGGAAAGGCCCAAGCUUGCUUGGGUACUCGAGUGGCGGACGGGUGAGUAACACGUGGGUGAUCUGCCCUGCACUUCGGGAUAAGCCUGGGAAACUGGGUCUAAUACCGGAUAGGACGAUGGUUUGGAUGCCAUUGUGGAAAGUUUUUUCGGUGUGGGAUGAGCUCGCGGCCUAUCAGCUUGUUGGUGGGGUAAUGGCCUACCAAGGCGUCGACGGGUAGCCGGCCUGAGAGGGUGUACGGCCACAUUGGGACUGAGAUACGGCCCAGACUCCUACGGGAGGCAGCAGUGGGGAAUAUUGCACAAUGGGCGCAAGCCUGAUGCAGCGACGCCGCGUGGGGGAUGACGGCCUUCGGGUUGUAAACUCCUUUCGCUAGGGACGAAGCGUUUUUGUGACGGUACCUGGAGAAGAAGCACCGGCUAACUACGUG
rnacentral:rRNA from 1 species